UGCCACAGCCAUAUCACCCUGCAGCCCAAGACUGGUUGCCCACUGAAGAUAAGCAGGGUUGAGUCUGGACAGUACCUGGAUGGGAGACCUCCUGGGAGAACUAGGUUGCUGUUAGAA
ensembl:rRNA 5S_rRNA 5S ribosomal RNA